rnacentral:rRNA from 1 species
AACGUAGGUGGCAAGCGUUGUCCGGAUUUAUUGGGCGUAAAGAGCGUGUAGGCGGCCAUGUAGGUCCGUUGUGAAAACUCGAGCUCAACUUCGAGACGCCGAUGGAAACCAUGUGGCUAGAGUCCGGAAGAGGAGAGUGGAAUUCCUGGUGUAGCGGUGAAAUGCGCAGAUAUCAGGAAGAACACCCGUGGCGAAGGCGGCU